rnacentral:rRNA from 1 species
AUUGAACGCUGGCGGCAUGCCUUACACAUGCAAGUCGAACGGCAGCACGGGAGCAAUCCUGGUGGCGAGUGGCGAACGGGUGAGUAAUAUAUCGGAACGUGCCCAGUCGUGGGGAUAACGUAGCGAAAGCUACGCUAAUACCGCAUACGAUCUAUGGAUGAAAGCGGGGGAUCGCAAGACCUCGCGCGAUUGGAGCGGCCGAUAUCAGAUUAGGUAGUUGGUGAGGUAAAGGCUCACCAAGCCGACGAUCUGUAGCUGGUCUGAGAGGACGACCAGCCACACUGGAACUGAGACACGGUCCAGACUCCUACGGGAGGCAGCAGUGGGGAAUAUUGGACAAUGGGCGAAAGACCUGAUCCAGCAAUGCCGCGUGAGUGAUGAAGGCCUUAGGG